CUUUUGCGUCUAAGACAGAUCUUUAAUGGAGUAUUUCUUAAGGUGAACAAAGCCACAUUACAGAUGUUGCAAAGAGUCGGGCCUUACAUUACCUAUGGAUAUCCCAAUCUUAAGACUGUCAAGGAAUUGAUCCACAAAAGGGGCUAUAGAAAGCUUAACAAGCGAAUAACCGCUUUGACCGACAAUUC